GUUCCCAAAAAAAAUCACCUUCGAAGAGCGAGGGAAAAGGGGCGUUCCCAGGGUUUUCCGGCAGGGAAGGUUUCACCUCUGCCACCUGCCGGCACCUGCGAGGAUCCUGCCUGGAAUUGUGCACUCAACAAACGCGGAGGAAUUCCUAAGAAACUUCCAAGCGAAUCAUUCCGGCUCGUUCCUGGUGGAAUCAGCUGGGGGCAGCUGAGAUAAAUCGCUCCCACUUCAGCUGUUCUGACGCUUCCAGAGCUGAGCGUGGCUCCCCUUCCAGCCAAACCCCGGUCCCGAAGGAAGACGGAAACCUUCGGGAAGGGAUUCCUGGGGCGGAGAAAGCGGCUCUUUAAUGACCUGAAGGAAACAGCCCCGCUGGAAACAGCCCCCGGACAGGAGUUCAGCCAGGGCUGGGCAAUGGGCUGUGCAUCUCCAUCUGCUGCUGGGACACCGGUGUUUGGAGAACUGCUUAAUCCACGCUGGAAACGGAGAGGAACUUCAUCAAAAGAAGAACUUUCCUUGGCAAAACCGAAGCAGAAAAAAAAAUCAAAAAAUCACCCUCAUAUGUAAGCAUGUGGCAUGGUCUGAUUAAUCAACAAGAGCGGGGUUGCCAUGAUGAUGUAACAGUGACUGCAAUAUUUUGGCUGAAAAGCAUCAAUUAAAAGACUCCGAGAUGAAAAGAAUUCCCAUCCUGCUCCAGGGCUCACAAGCACUAAUCCUGCCAACCAAGGAGUCCAAAAGGAAGAAGGUUUUUAUUUCAUAUCCAGACUCUUAUUCCAUGCAGGUAAAUCCAUAGUAAAUACAUUGCAGUAAAAGACAGUUAAAGUGCCUUUAAAGUCCCUCAAAAGAGUCCAAACUGUGCUGGAAAUUCAAGUAUGUGGAAAAUAGGCCUUUAGUUAUUAGGAGAAUAUUUUUAUUUUUUUUUUUUUUAAAUGUUGAAAAUGGUGGGGGGUGAGGGAGGUGGUCAAGCCCCCAAAUUUUCCUGGGAGCAGAACCAAAUCCCAGG